GCGUCGGCAGUGCAAUGGUUAGCAUACGCUCCCGGAAAGAGUGAGAUUCGGGUUCGAAUCACGGCUGACGCA